GUUAAUGUAGCUUAAAUUAUCAAAGCAAGGCACUGAAAAUGCCUAGAUGAGCCUCACAGCUCCAUAAACACACAGGUUUGGUCCUGGCCUUUCUAUUAAUUCUUAAUAAAAUUACACAUGCAAGUAUCCGCGCCCCGGUGAGAAUGCCCUCCAGAUCUUAAAGAUCAAAAGGAGCAGGUAUCAAGCACACCUAUAACGGUAGCUCAUAACGCCUUGCUCAACCACACCCCCACGGGAAACAGCAGUGAUAAAAAUUAAGCCAUGAACGAAAGUUUGACUAAGUUAUAUUAAUUAGAGUUGGUAAAUCUCGUGCCAGCCACCGCGGUCAUACGAUUAACCCAAAUUAAUAGAUCCACGGCGUAAAGAGUGUUUAAGAAAAAAAAUCACAAUAGAGUUAAAUUAUAACUAAGCUGUAAAAAGCCCUAGUUAAAAUAAAAUAACCCACGAAAGUGACUCUAAUAAUCCUGACACACGAUAGCUAGGACCCAAACUGGGAUUAGAUACCCCACUAUGCCUAGCCCUAAACCCAAAUAGUUACAUAACAAAACUAUUCGCCAGAGUACUACUCGCAACUGCCUAAAACUCAAAGGACUUGGCGGUGCUUCACAUCCACCUAGAGGAGCCUGUUCUAUAAUCGAUAAACCCCGAUAGACCUUACCAACCCUUGCCAAUUCAGCCUAUAUACCGCCAUCUUCAGCAAACCCUAAAAAGGAACAAUAGUAAGCACAAUCAUAGCACAUAAAAACGUUAGGUCAAGGUGUAGCUUAUGGGUUGGAAAGAAAUGGGCUACAUUUUCUACAUAAGAAUAUCCACCACACGAAAGUUUUUAUGAAACUAAAAACCAAAGGAGGAUUUAGCAGUAAAUCAAGAAUAGAGUGCUUGAUUGAAUAAGGCCAUGAAGCACGCACACACCGCCCGUCACCCUCCUCAAGCAUGUAGUAAUAAAAAUAACCUAUAUUCAAUUACACAACCAUGCAAGAAGAGACAAGUCGUAACAAGGUAAGCAUACUGGAAAGUGUGCUUGGAUUACCAAAGCAUAGCUUAAACUAAAGCACCUAGUUUACACCUAGAAGAUCCCACAAUGUAUGGGUACUUUGAACCAAAGCUAGCUCAACAUACUAAACAAAUACAAAAAUACACCAAAAUAAAAUAAAACAUUCACCUAACAUUAAAGUAUAGGAGAUAGAAAUUUUUAUCCUGACGCUAUAGAGAUAGUACCGUAAGGGAAAGAUGAAAGAAUAAAAUAAAAGUAAAAAAAAGCAAAGAUUACCCCUUCUACCUUUUGCAUAAUGGUUUAACCAGAAAAAAUCUAACAAAGAGAACUUUAGCUAGAUACCCCGAAACCAGACGAGCUACCCAUGAGCAGUUUAAAAGAACCAACUCAUCUAUGUGGCAAAAUAGUGAGAAGACUUGUAGGUAGAGGUGAAAAGCCUAACGAGCCUGGUGAUAGCUGGUUGUCCGAGAAAGAAUUUUAGUUCAACCUUAAAAAUACCCCAAAAACCCUAAAUUCCAAUGUAUUUUUAAGAGAUAGUCUAAAAAGGUACAGCUUUUUAGAAACGGAUACAACCUUGACUAGAGAGUAAAAUCUUAAUACUACCAUAGUAGGCCUAAAAGCAGCCAUCAAUUGAGAAAGCGUUAAAGCUCAACAAAUUCACCAACAUAAUCCCAAAAACUAAUAACAAACUCCUAGCCCAAUACCGGACUAAUCUAUUGAAACAUAGAAGCAAUAAUGUUAAUAUGAGUAACAAGAAGCCUUUCUCCUCGCACACGCUUACAUCAGUAACUAAUAAUAUACUGAUAAUUAACAACCAAUAAACCAAAACAACACUAAAACGUUUAUUAAUUACAUUGUUAACCCAACACAGGAGUGCACCAAGGAAAGAUUAAAAGAAGUAAAAGGAACUCGGCAAACACAAACCCCGCCUGUUUACCAAAAACAUCACCUCUAGCAUUACUAGUAUUAGAGGCAAUGCCUGCCCAGUGACACCAGUUUAACGGCCGCGGUAUUCUGACCGUGCAAAGGUAGCAUAAUCACUUGUUCUCCAAAUAAGGACUUGUAUGAAUGGCCACACGAGGGUUUUACUGUCUCUUACUUCCAAUCAGUGAAAUUAACCUUCCCGUGAAGAGGCGGGAAUAAAAAAAUAAGACGAGAAGACCCUAUGGAGCUUUAAUUAACUAUUCCAAAAGUUAAACAACUCAACCACAAAGGGAUAAAACAUAACUUAACAUGGACUAGCAAUUUCGGUUGGGGUGACCUCGGAGUACAAAAAACCCUCCGAGUGAUUUUAAUCUAGACAAACCAGUCAAAAUAACCAUAACAUCACUUAUUGAUCCAAAAUUUUGAUCAACGGAACAAGUUACCCUAGGGAUAACAGCGCAAUCCUGUUCUAGAGUUCCUAUCGACAAUAGGGUUUACGACCUCGAUGUUGGAUCAGGACACCCAAAUGGUGCAACCGCUAUUAAAGGUUCGUUUGUUCAACGAUUAAAGUCCUACGUGAUCUGAGUUCAGACCGGAGCAAUCCAGGUCGGUUUCUAUCUAUUAUAAAUUUCUCCCAGUACGAAAGGACAAGAGAAAUGGGACCAACCUCACAAACGCGUCUCAGAGAUAAUUAAUGAUUUAAUCUUAACCUAAUUAACUCAUAAUAAAUCCAGCCCUAGAACAGGGCACAUUAGGGUGGCAGAGACCGGUAAUUGCGUAAAACUUAAACCUUUAUUACCAGAGGUUCAACUCCUCUCCCUAAUAACAUGUUCAUAAUUAAUAUUCUAAGCCUAAUUAUUCCUAUCCUACUGGCCGUAGCAUUCCUCACCCUAGUAGAACGAAAAGUGCUAGGUUAUAUGCAACUACGAAAAGGACCCAACGUUGUAGGCCCCUACGGCCUACUCCAACCCAUCGCCGAUGCCCUAAAACUAUUCACCAAAGAACCCCUACGACCAGCCACAUCCUCAAUCUCCAUGUUCAUUAUUGCACCAAUCCUAGCCUUAUCCCUAGCACUAACAAUAUGAGUUCCACUACCAAUACCCUACCCUCUAAUCAACAUAAACCUAGGAGUACUAUUCAUGCUAGCCAUGUCAAGCCUAGCAGUCUACUCUAUCCUAUGAUCAGGAUGAGCAUCCAACUCAAAAUACGCACUCAUCGGGGCCCUACGAGCAGUAGCCCAAACAAUCUCAUAUGAAGUAACACUAGCAAUCAUCCUACUAUCAGUACUCCUAAUAAAUGGAUCAUAUACUCUAUCAACCCUAAUCACAACACAAGAGCACAUUUGAAUAAUCUUUACAUCCUGACCCCUAGCCAUAAUAUGAUUUAUCUCAACCCUAGCAGAAACCAACCGAGCCCCGUUCGACCUUACAGAAGGAGAGUCAGAACUUGUAUCAGGCUUUAACGUAGAAUAUGCAGCCGGACCUUUCGCCAUAUUCUUCAUAGCAGAAUAUGCCAACAUCAUCAUAAUAAAUGCAUUUACAGCAAUUCUCUUCCUAGGAGCAUCCCACGACCCACACACACCAGAACUAUAUACAAUCAACUUCGUACUAAAAACACUCGCAUUAACAAUCACCUUCCUAUGAAUCCGAGCAUCAUACCCACGAUUCCGAUACGACCAACUAAUACAUUUACUAUGAAAAAGCUUCCUGCCCCUAACACUAGCUCUAUGUAUAUGACACAUCUCACUCCCUAUUAUAACAGCAAGCAUUCCCCCACAAUCAUAGAAAUAUGUCUGAUAAAAGAGUUACUUUGAUAGAGUAAAAAAUAGAGGUUCAAACCCUCUUAUUUCUAGAACAAUAGGACUCGAACCUAAACCUGAGAAUUCAAAAUUCUCCGUGCUACCAAAAUACACCACAUUCUACAGUAAGGUCAGCUAAGCUAAGCUAUCGGGCCCAUACCCCGAAAAUGUUGGUUCAUACCCUUCCCAUACUAAUUAAUCCCAUUAUCUACACUACCCUUAUCAUAACAGUAAUGUCCGGAACCAUACUAGUAAUAAUCAGCUCACACUGACUACUCAUCUGAAUCGGAUUCGAAAUAAACCUAUUAGCAAUAAUCCCAGUAUUAAUAAAAAAUUUUAACCCACGAGCCACAGAAGCAGCCACAAAAUAUUUCCUAACACAAGCCACAGCCUCCAUAAUACUAAUAAUAGCCAUCAUCAUCAACCUCCUAUAUUCUGGCCAAUGGACCAUUACAAAAAUAUUUAACCCAGUAGCAAUAACAAUAAUAACCAUGGCCCUAGCCAUAAAACUAGGACUCUCACCUUUCCACUUCUGAGUCCCAGAAGUAACCCAAGGCAUUUCACUACAAGCAGGCCUACUGUUACUAACAUGACAAAAACUAGCCCCAUUAUCAGUACUAUGCCAAAUCUCACAAUCAAUCAACCCAAACCUAAUACUAACUAUAGCCAUAUUAUCAAUUUUAAUCGGAGGGUGAGGAGGGCUAAAUCAAACCCAACUUCGAAAAAUCAUAGCAUACUCAUCAAUCGCACACAUAGGAUGAAUGACAGCAGUAUUACCAUACAACACAACCAUAACAAUCUUAAACCUACUAAUUUACAUCACAAUAACACUAGCAAUAUUCAUACUAUUAAUCCACAGCUCAGCAACCACAACUUUAUCCCUAUCCCAUACAUGAAACAAAAUACCCGUCAUCACAAGCCUAAUAAUAGUAACCCUACUCUCAAUAGGAGGCCUGCCUCCACUAUCAGGAUUUAUGCCAAAAUGAAUAAUUAUUCAAGAAAUAACAAAAAAUGAAAGCAUCAUCAUGCCAACACUCAUAGCAAUAACAGCACUGCUAAACCUCUAUUUCUACAUACGACUAGCCUACUCCUCCUCACUGACUAUGUUCCCAUCCACCAACAACAUAAAAAUAAAAUGACAAUUCGAACACACAAAACAAAUAAAAUUACUUCCCACAAUAAUUGUAUUAUCAACACUAGUCCUACCUAUAACACCAGCCCUCUCGUCCCUAAACUAGGAAUUUAGGUUAACACAGACCAAGAGCCUUCAAAGCUCUAAGUAAGUACAAAGUACUUAACUCCUGAAAACCUAAGGACUGCAGGACUUAUCCUACAUCAAUUGAAUGCAAAUCAAACACUUUAAUUAAGCUAAAUCCUCACUAGAUUGGUGGGAUUACAUACCCACGAAACUUUUAGUUAACAGCUAAACACCCUAAUCAACUGGCUUCAAUCUACUUCUCCCGCCGCAGGAAAAAAAAGGCGGGAGAAGUCCCGGCAGAAUUGAAGCUGCUUCUUUGAAUUUGCAAUUCAACAUGAUAUUCACCACGGAACUGGCAAAAAGAGGGCUUAACCUCUGUCUUUAGAUUUACAGUCUAAUGCUUACUCAGCCAUUUUACCUAUGUUCGUAAAUCGUUGACUAUACUCAACAAACCACAAAGACAUCGGCACCCUGUACCUACUAUUUGGUGCCUGAGCAGGAAUAGUGGGCACUGCCUUGAGCCUACUAAUUCGCGCUGAACUAGGUCAGCCCGGAACCCUACUUGGCGAUGAUCAAAUCUAUAAUGUAAUUGUUACAGCUCAUGCCUUUGUAAUAAUCUUCUUUAUAGUAAUACCCAUUAUGAUUGGGGGUUUUGGUAACUGACUCGUACCGCUAAUAAUCGGAGCUCCCGAUAUGGCCUUUCCACGUAUAAACAACAUAAGUUUCUGACUACUUCCACCAUCCUUCCUAUUACUUCUGGCAUCCUCAAUAGUAGAAGCCGGAGCGGGUACUGGAUGAACUGUAUACCCACCUUUAGCUGGAAACUUAGCCCAUGCAGGGGCUUCAGUUGAUUUAACAAUUUUCUCCCUACACCUUGCAGGUGUAUCAUCAAUCCUAGGGGCUAUUAAUUUCAUUACCACAAUUAUUAACAUAAAACCCCCCGCAAUGUCUCAAUACCAAACACCCCUGUUUGUCUGAUCAGUACUAAUCACAGCCGUACUACUUCUACUAUCCCUGCCAGUUCUAGCAGCUGGCAUUACUAUACUACUGACAGACCGCAACCUGAACACAACCUUUUUUGAUCCAGCAGGUGGUGGAGACCCUAUCCUUUAUCAACACUUGUUCUGAUUUUUCGGACACCCAGAAGUAUACAUUCUCAUCUUACCAGGAUUCGGAAUAAUCUCCCACAUUGUAACCUACUAUUCAGGUAAAAAAGAACCAUUUGGAUAUAUAGGCAUAGUAUGAGCCAUAAUGUCCAUUGGAUUCUUAGGUUUUAUUGUAUGGGCUCACCACAUAUUCACCGUAGGAAUAGACGUAGAUACCCGAGCAUACUUUACAUCUGCUACAAUAAUCAUUGCUAUUCCCACUGGAGUAAAAGUAUUUAGUUGAUUAGCUACCCUGCACGGCGGCAAUAUUAAAUGAUCACCCGCAAUACUAUGAGCUCUGGGCUUCAUCUUCCUAUUCACCGUAGGAGGUCUAACGGGCAUUGUACUAGCUAAUUCCUCCCUAGACAUUGUAUUACAUGAUACAUAUUAUGUAGUCGCACACUUCCACUAUGUCUUAUCUAUAGGAGCAGUGUUCGCCAUUAUAGGGGGCUUUGUUCACUGAUUCCCCCUAUUCUCCGGGUACACACUCAACCAAGCAUGAGCAAAAAUUCACUUUGUAAUCAUAUUCGUAGGAGUAAAUAUAACAUUCUUUCCACAACACUUUCUAGGACUAUCCGGAAUACCUCGACGAUACUCCGAUUAUCCUGACGCAUACACAGCAUGAAAUACUAUUUCCUCAAUAGGCUCAUUCAUCUCACUAACAGCAGUGAUAUUAAUAAUCUUCAUUAUCUGAGAAGCAUUCGCAUCAAAACGAGAAGUAUCUGCAGUAGAACUGACAAGCACAAACCUAGAAUGACUACACGGAUGUCCUCCUCCCUAUCACACAUUUGAAGAACCAACAUAUAUCAACCUAAAAUAAGCAUAAGAAAGGAAGGAAUCGAACCCUCUCCCACUGGUUUCAAGCCAACGUCAUAACCACUAUGUCUUUCUCGAUAAUCGAGGUAUUAGUAAAAUAUUACAUAACUUUGUCGAAGUUAUAUUAUAGGUGAAAGCCCUAUAUGCCUCUAUGGCUUACCCUUUCCAACUAGGCUUCCAAGACGCCACUUCACCCAUCAUAGAAGAACUCCUACACUUUCACGAUCACACCUUAAUAAUCGUAUUCUUAAUCAGCUCUUUAGUGUUAUAUAUCAUUUCACUCAUACUAACAACAAAACUGACACACACUAGCACAAUGGAUGCCCAAGAAGUAGAAACAAUUUGAACAAUCCUACCCGCUAUUAUUCUAAUUCUUAUUGCCCUUCCAUCAUUACGAAUCCUUUAUAUAAUAGACGAAAUUAAUAACCCAGCCUUAACCGUAAAAACCAUAGGACAUCAAUGAUACUGAAGCUACGAGUAUACAGACUAUGAAGACCUCACCUUUGACUCAUAUAUAAUCCCCACAUCAGAUCUUAAACCUGGAGAAAUACGACUACUAGAAGUAGACAAUCGAGUUGUUCUACCAAUAGAAAUAACAAUCCGAAUAUUAGUAUCCUCUGAAGACGUACUGCACUCAUGAGCCGUCCCAUCCCUCGGUUUAAAAACAGAUGCUAUCCCAGGACGACUAAACCAAACAACUCUAAUAUCCACACGACCUGGCCUUUAUUACGGACAGUGCUCAGAAAUCUGUGGAUCAAACCACAGCUUCAUGCCCAUUGUACUUGAACUUGUCCCAUUAAAGUACUUCGAAAAAUGGUCAACAUCAAUAUUAACAGGUUCAUUGAGAAGCUAGUCAGCACUAACCUUUUAAGUUAGAGAUCGGGAGCCUAAAUCUCCCCUCAAUGGUAUGCCACAACUAGAUACAUCCACAUGAUUCAUUACAAUUACAUCAAUAAUUAUAACAUUAUUUAUUUUAUUCCAACUAAAAAUCUCAAACUACUCAUACCCAGCAAGCCCAGAAUCAAUUGAACUCAAAACUCAAAAACAUAGCACCCCUUGAGAAAUAAAAUGAACGAAAAUCUAUUUGCCUCUUUUAUUGCCCCCACGAUAAUAGGACUACCUAUUGUCACCUUAAUUAUUAUAUUCCCAAGCUUACUAUUCCCAACACCCAAACGACUCAUUAAUAACCGCACAAUCUCGAUCCAACAAUGAUUAAUCCAACUAACAUCCAAACAAAUAAUAGCUAUUCACAACCAAAAAGGCCAAACCUGAUCACUAAUACUUAUAUCUCUAAUUAUAUUCAUCGGCUCAACAAACAUCCUAGGCCUACUACCACACUCAUUCACACCCACCACACAACUAUCAAUAAACCUGGGUAUAGCAAUCCCCCUAUGAUCAGCAACCGUAUUCACAGGAUUCCGCUAUAAAACCAAAACAUCACUAGCCCACUUUCUACCACAAGGAACACCCGCCCUAUUAAUUCCUAUGCUCGUAAUUAUUGAAACUAUUAGCCUAUUUAUUCAACCAGUAGCCCUAGCCGUACGACUGACAGCCAACAUUACAGCAGGGCACCUAUUAAUUCAUCUAAUUGGAGGGGCCACAUUAGCACUACUCAACAUCAACACUAUAACAGCUUUUAUCACAUUUACUAUCCUCAUUCUAUUAACUAUUCUUGAAUUUGCAGUAGCUCUGAUCCAAGCUUAUGUGUUUACACUGCUAGUAAGCUUAUACCUACACGACAAUACAUAAUGACCCACCAAACACAUGCAUACCACAUAGUAAACCCAAGCCCAUGACCACUUACCGGAGCCCUAUCAGCCCUUUUAAUAACAUCAGGCCUAACUAUAUGAUUCCACUUUAACUCUAUACUCUUACUAUCUCUAGGACUAUUAACCAAUACUUUGACAAUAUACCAAUGGUGACGAGACAUUAUUCGAGAGAGCACUUUCCAAGGCCACCACACAUCAGUUGUCCAAAAAGGCUUACGAUACGGUAUAAUUUUAUUUAUUAUUUCCGAGGUUCUGUUCUUCACUGGAUUCUUUUGAGCUUUCUACCACUCAAGCCUAGCACCAACACCCGAAUUAGGAGGUUGCUGACCACCAACAGGAAUUCACCCACUAAACCCCCUAGAAGUACCCCUACUAAACACCUCAAUCCUCCUCGCCUCAGGAGUAUCCAUUACCUGAGCCCAUCACAGCCUAAUAGAAGGGGACCGAAAACACAUAAUCCAAGCACUAUCCAUCACCAUUGCACUAGGCGUAUACUUCACCCUCCUCCAAGCCUCAGAAUAUUACGAAGCACCAUUCACAAUCUCCGACGGAGUGUAUGGAUCCACUUUCUUUGUGGCUACAGGGUUUCACGGGUUGCACGUAAUCAUCGGAUCUACUUUCCUAGCAGUAUGCUUACUACGACAACUAAAAUUCCACUUCACAUCCAACCACCACUUCGGCUUUGAAGCCGCAGCCUGAUACUGACACUUCGUAGAUGUAGUUUGACUAUUCCUUUACGUAUCAAUCUAUUGAUGAGGAUCCUACUCUUUUAGUAUUAAGUAGUACAAUUGACUUCCAAUCAAUCAGUUUCGGUAAACUCCGAAAAAGAGUAAUAAAUAUUAUACUAACACUACUCACAAACGUAACCCUAGCCUCCCUACUCGUACUAAUCGCAUUCUGACUACCCCAACUAAACGCAUAUUCAGAAAAAACAAGCCCAUAUGAAUGUGGAUUUGACCCCAUAGGAUCAGCACGCCUCCCAUUCUCAAUAAAAUUUUUCCUAGUAGCCAUUACAUUUCUCCUUUUUGAUCUAGAAAUCGCCCUUCUCCUUCCCCUACCAUGAGCAUCCCAAACAAACAAUCUAAAAACAAUACUUACAAUAGCACUAUUCCUUCUUAUCCUACUAGCAGCAAGCCUAGCAUACGAAUGAACCCAAAAAGGCCUAGAAUGAGCAGAAUAUGAUAAUUAGUUUAAAACAAAACAAAUGAUUUCGACUCAUUAGACUAUGAUUUACUUCAUAAUUAUCAAGUGCCAUUAGUAUAUAUAAACAUCAUUAUAGCAUUCGCGAUCGCCCUUGCAGGGUUACUUAUAUAUCGAUCUCACUUAAUAUCUUCACUACUAUGCCUAGAAGGAAUGAUACUAUCACUAUUCAUCAUAUCGACUCUAAUUAUCCUAAACACACACUUCACCCUAGCUAACAUAAUACCCAUUAUUUUACUAGUGUUUGCAGCCUGCGAAGCUGCACUAGGCCUGUCACUACUAGUAAUAGUAUCCAACACAUACGGUACCGAUUACGUCCAAAACUUAAACCUUUUACAAUGCUAAAAAUUAUUAUCCCAACAACAAUACUACUACCCAUAACAUGAAUAUCUAAACACAACAUAAUCUGAAUCAAUGCAACAGUACAUAGUCUCCUCAUUAGCCUGAUCAGUCUAUCCCUACUAAACCAACUAGGCGAAAACAGCCUUAAUUUUUCCUUAACAUUCUUCUCCGACUCACUAUCAGCACCCCUACUAGUUCUAACCACAUGACUCCUCCCCCUUAUACUAAUAGCUAGCCAAUCUCACCUAUCAAAAGAAACCACAACCCGAAAAAAACUAUAUAUUACCAUACUAAUCCUACUACAACUAUUCCUAAUUAUAACCUUCACCGCCACCGAACUAAUCCUAUUCUAUAUCCUAUUCGAAGCAACACUAGUACCCACACUAAUUAUCAUCACACGCUGAGGAAACCAAACAGAACGACUCAAUGCAGGACUUUAUUUCCUAUUCUACACCCUAGCAGGAUCCCUACCACUGCUAGUAGCACUAGUUUAUAUCCAAAAUACCACAGGCUCACUAAACUUCUUAAUUAUCCAUUACUGAUCCCACCCAUUAUCCAACUCUUGAUCAAACAUUUUUAUAUGAUUAGCAUGCAUCAUAGCCUUCAUAGUAAAAAUACCUCUGUACGGACUCCAUCUUUGACUGCCAAAAGCCCAUGUAGAAGCCCCCAUUGCAGGUUCAAUAGUACUUGCAGCCGUACUGCUAAAACUCGGAGGCUAUGGCAUAAUGCGAAUCACUACUAUUCUAAACCCACUAACAAACUACAUAGCCUAUCCAUUCCUCAUGCUUUCCAUAUGAGGCAUAAUCAUAACCAGCUCUAUCUGCUUACGUCAAACCGACCUAAAAUCCUUAAUCGCCUAUUCAUCAGUAAGUCAUAUAGCACUUGUAAUCGUAGCAAUCAUAAUUCAAACCCCCUGAAGCUUCAUAGGGGCCACAGCUCUCAUAAUUGCCCACGGACUAACAUCCUCCAUACUAUUCUGCCUAGCCAACACUAACUAUGAACGAGUACACAGCCGAACCAUAAUCCUGGCCCGAGGACUGCAAACACUCCUACCACUCAUAGCAACAUGAUGACUAGUAGCAAGCCUCACAAACCUAGCCCUACCCCCAUCCAUCAAUCUAAUCGGAGAAUUAUUUAUCAUCACAGCAUCAUUUUCAUGAUCCAACAUCACAAUUAUUCUCAUAGGAAUAAACAUAAUAAUUACAGCCCUCUACUCUCUCUACAUACUAAUUACUACACAACGAGGAAAAUACACCCACCACAUUAACAACAUCAAACCCUCAUUCACACGAGAAAACGCCCUCAUAGCCCUACAUAUUCUACCACUACUACUACUGACCUUAAACCCUAAAAUAAUCCUAGGACCCCUUUACUGUAGAUAUAGUUUAAUAAAAACCCUAGAUUGUGAAUCUAGUAAUAGAAAAUUAAAUAUUCUUAUCUACCGAAAAAGUUUGCAAGAACUGCUAACUCAUGCUUCCACACUUAAAAAUGUGGCUUUUUCAACUUUUAAAGGAUAACAGCUAUCCGUUGGUCUUAGGAACCAAAAAAUUGGUGCAACUCCAAAUAAAAGUAAUAAACCCAUUCGCCUCACUCACAUUAACCACACUAACUAUUCUAACCAUCCCAAUUAUAAUAUCCAACUCAAACAUCUACAAAACUAACCUUUACCCUAACUACGUAAAAACCACCGUAUCCUACGCCUUCACUCUCAGCCUAGUCCCCUUACUAAUAUUUAUACACACAGGCCAAGAAAUAAUCAUUUCAAACUGACAUUGAAUAACCCUACAGACCGUAGAACUCUCUCUUAGCUUCAAAAUAGACUAUUUCUCAGUAAUAUUCAUUCCCGUAGCACUAUUCGUCACAUGAUCAAUUAUAGAAUUCUCCAUAUGAUACAUACACUCAGACCCCUUCAUCAACCGAUUCUUUAAAUACCUACUACUAUUCUUAAUCACUAUAAUAAUCCUCGUAACCGCCAACAACCUCUUCCAACUAUUUAUCGGAUGAGAAGGCGUAGGAAUCAUAUCAUUCCUGCUAAUUGGAUGAUGACACGGACGAACAGACGCCAACACAGCUGCACUACAAGCAAUCCUAUACAACCGCAUCGGAGACAUUGGAUUUGUCCUAUCCAUAGCAUGAUUCCUAACCCACUCAAACGCAUGAGAUCUUCAACAAAUCUUUAUACUAAACAAUGAAUGCCCAAACAUACCAUUAAUCGGCCUACUCCUAGCUGCAGCAGGAAAAUCAGCUCAAUUCGGACUACAUCCCUGAUUGCCCUCAGCAAUAGAAGGCCCAACUCCCGUAUCAGCAUUACUACACUCCAGUACAAUAGUAGUAGCAGGGGUAUUUCUACUCAUCCGCUUCUACCCCUUAAUAGAAACUAACAAACUAGUUCAAACUAUAACACUAUGCCUAGGAGCUAUCACCACCUUAUUUACAGCACUAUGUGCAAUCACACAAAAUGAUAUCAAAAAAAUCGUAGCCUUCUCAACUUCAAGCCAACUAGGCUUGAUAAUAGUGACAAUCGGCAUCAACCAACCCCACCUAGCAUUUCUCCACAUCUGCAUGCACGCUUUCUUCAAAGCAAUACUAUUCAUAUGCUCCGGAUCCAUUAUCCACAGCCUCAAUGACGAACAAGACAUCCGAAAAAUAGGCGGACUGUAUAAAGCAAUACCAUUCACAACAACAGCACUAAUUAUUGGAAGCCUGGCAUUAACAGGAAUGCCUUAUCUCACAGGAUUCUACUCAAAAGACCUUAUCAUUGAAGCAGUAAAUAUAUCCUACACAAACGCCUGAGCCCUACUAAUAACAUUAAUUGCCACAUCCCUAACCGCUGCCUACAGCACUCGAAUUAUCUUCUUUGCAUUCCUAGGGAAACCACGUUUCCCACCCCUAGUCCUAAUUAAUGAAAAUAACCCCCUACUAAUUAACUCUAUUAAACGCCUUUUAAUCGGAAGCAUUUUCGCUGGCUUUAUCAUCUCCAACAACAUCCCACCAAUAACAGUACCAAACACAACAAUACCCCUUUACAUAAAAAUAACAGCCCUAAUCGUAACCAUCAUAGGAUUCAUACUAGCCCUAGAGCUAAACAACACAACCUACUACCUGAAAUUUAAAUACCCCUCACAAACAUACAAAUUUUCCAACAUACUAGGAUAUUAUCCCUCCAUCAUACACCGCCUACCAACAUACCACAACCUAUCUAUAAGCCAAAAAUCCGCAUCAUCAUUACUAGACUUAAUUUGACUAGAAACUAUUCUACCAAAAACAACCUCUUUCAUCCAAAUAAAAAUAUCAAUCAUAGUAUCAAAUCAAAAAGGCCUAAUCAAACUAUACUUUCUCUCCUUCCUAAUCACUAUUAUAAUCAGCAUAACACUAUUUAAUUACCACGAGUAAUCUCUAUAAUAACAACAACUCCAAUAAGCAAUGAUCAACCAGUAACAAUAACUAAUCAAGUACCAUAACUAUAUAAAGCAGCAAUCCCCAUAGCUUCCUCACUAAAAAACCCCGAAUCACCCGUAUCAUAAAUUACUCAAUCCCCAAGCCCAUUAAACUUAAAGAUAAUUUCUACUUCCUCUUCCUUCAACGCAUAAUAAACCAUACAAAACUCCAUUAUUAAACCAGAAACAAAUGCUCCAAAAACAGUCUUAUUAGAAACUCAAACCUCAGGAUACAUCUCAGUAGCCAUAGCAGUAGUAUAACCAAAAACCACCAACAUACCCCCCAAAUAAAUCAAAAACACCAUUAAACCUAAAAAAGACCCACCAAAAUUCAAUACAAUACCACAACCAACUCCACCACUUACAAUCAACCCAAGUCCACCAUAAAUAGGAGAGGGCUUAGAAGAAAAACCAACAAACCCAAUAACAAAAAUAGUACUUAAAAUAAAUGCAAUAUACAUUGUCAUUAUUCUCACAUGGAAUUUAACCACGACCAAUGACAUGAAAAAUCAUCGUUGUACUUCAACUACAAGAACCUUAAUGACCAACAUCCGAAAAUCACACCCACUAAUAAAAAUUAUCAACAACGCAUUCAUUGACCUCCCAGCCCCCUCAAACAUCUCAUCAUGAUGAAACUUCGGUUCCCUCUUAGGCAUCUGCCUAAUCUUGCAAAUCCUAACAGGCCUGUUCUUAGCAAUACAUUACACAUCAGACACAACAACAGCUUUCUCAUCAGUUACACACAUUUGUCGAGACGUAAAUUACGGAUGAGUUAUUCGCUAUCUACAUGCAAACGGAGCAUCCAUAUUCUUUAUUUGCCUAUUCAUCCACGUAGGCCGAGGUCUAUACUACGGAUCCUAUAUAUUCCUAGAAACAUGAAACAUUGGAGUAGUCCUACUAUUUACCGUUAUAGCAACAGCCUUCAUAGGCUACGUCCUGCCCUGAGGACAAAUAUCAUUCUGAGGAGCUACGGUCAUCACAAAUCUACUAUCAGCUAUCCCUUAUAUCGGAACAGACCUCGUAGAAUGAAUCUGAGGGGGCUUUUCCGUCGACAAAGCAACCCUCACACGAUUCUUCGCCUUCCACUUUAUCCUGCCAUUCAUCAUUACCGCCCUCGCAGCCGUACAUCUCAUAUUCCUGCACGAAACCGGAUCCAACAACCCUACCGGAAUCUCAUCAGACAUAGACAAAAUUCCAUUUCACCCAUACUACACUAUUAAAGACAUUCUAGGAGCCUUAUUUAUAAUACUAAUCCUACUAAUCCUUGUACUAUUCUCACCAGACCUACUAGGAGACCCAGACAACUACACCCCAGCAAACCCACUAAACACCCCACCCCAUAUUAAACCAGAAUGAUAUUUCUUAUUCGCCUACGCUAUUCUACGUUCAAUUCCUAAUAAACUAGGUGGAGUGUUGGCCCUAGUAGCCUCCAUCCUAAUCCUAAUUUUAAUGCCCAUACUGCACACAUCCAAACAACGAGGCAUAAUAUUUCGACCACUAAGUCAAUGCCUAUUCUGAAUACUAGUAGCAGACCUCAUUACACUAACAUGAAUUGGAGGACAACCCGUAGAACACCCGUUCAUCAUCAUCGGCCAACUAGCCUCCAUCUUAUACUUCCUAAUCAUUCUAGUAUUGAUACCAAUCACUAGCAUCAUCGAAAACAACCUAUUAAAAUGAAGAGUCUUCGUAGUAUAUAAAAUACCCUGGUCUUGUAAACCAGAAAAGGAGGGCCACCCCUCCCCAAGACUCAAGGAAGGAGACUAACUCCGCCAUCAGCACCCAAAGCUGAAAUUCUAACUAAACUAUUCCCUGCAACCAAAACAAGCAUUCCAUUCGUAUGCAAACCAAAACGCCAAGUACUUAAUUACUAUCUUUAAAACAAAAAAACCCAUAAAAAUUGCGCACAAACAUACAAAUAUGUGACCCCAAAAAUUUUACCAUUGAAAACCAAAAAAUCUAAUAUACUAUAACCCUAUGUACGUCGUGCAUUAACUGCUAGUCCCCAUGCAUAUAAGCAUGUACAUAUUAUUAUUAAUAUUACAUAGUACAUAUUAUUAUUGAUCGUACAUAGCACAUAUCAUGUCAAAUAACUCCAGUCAACAUGCAUAUCACCACCACUAGAUCACGAGCUUAAUUACCAUGCCGCGUGAAACCAGCAACCCGCUUGGCAGGGAUCCCUCUUCUCGCUCCGGGCCCAUAAACCGUGGGGGUUUCUAUUGAUGAACUUUAACAGGCAUCUGGUUCUUACUUCAGGACCAUCUCACCUAAAAUCGGCCACUCUUUCCCCUUAAAUAAGACAUCUCGAUGGACUAAUGACUAAUCAGCCCAUGCUCACACAUAACUGAGGUUUCAUACAUUUGGUAUUUUUUAAUUUUUGGGGAUGCUUAGACUCAGCCAUGGCCGUCAAAGGCCCUAACACAGUCAAAUCAAUUGUAGCUGGACUUCAUGGAACUCAUGAUCCGGCACGACAAUCCAAACAAGGUGCUAUUCAGUCAAUGGUUACGGGACAUAACGUACAUACACGUGCGUACACGUGCGUACACGUGCGUACACGUGCGUACACGUGCGUACACGUGCGUACACGUGCGUACACGUGCGUACACGUGCGUACACGUGCGUACACGUGCGUACACGUGCGUACACGUGCGUACACGUGCGUACACGUGCGUACACGUGCGUACACGUGCGUACACGUGCGUACACGUGCGUACACGUGCGUACACGUGCGUACACGUGCGUACACGUGCGUACACGUGCGUACACGUGCGUACACGUGCGUACACGUGCGUACACGUGCGUACACGUGCGUACACGCGCAUAUAAGCAGGUAAAUUAUUAGCUCAUUCAAACCCCCCUUACCCCCCAUUAAACUUAUGCUCUACACACCCUAUAACGCCUUGCCAAACCCCAAAAACAAAGCAGAGUGUACAAAUACAAUAAGCCUAACUUACACUAAACAACAUUUAACAACACAAACCACCAUAUCUUAUAAAACACUUACUUAAAUACGUGCUACGAAAGCAGGCACCUACCCCCCUAGAUUUUUACGCCAAUCUACCAUAAAUAAAUUUAAAAUUACAACACAAUAACCUCCCAAAAUAUAAGCACCUAUUUAAGUAUACGCCCACAAUCUGAAUAUAGCUUAUA
rnacentral:misc_RNA from 1 species